UCAGGCUGUGCACCUAAACGAACAACUUCGCUAGCAACCAAUGCUGUUUACUUCCUCUUUGGGCGUUCUGCUUAGUCUCAGGAGGCAAUCCUAACCUGGCAACUAGCCAGGCGCCAUCUUUUAAUGGCGGAGGCCGCCCUGGCCAGGGGCCUGCCUCCGACACCUCAAGAUUGUAAGCCACUUCAGUGUCCAUCACUAGAGAAGUCAGUGAAUCAAACUCUGCCAAUGAAAAGCACCUGUCCUAGACUCUGAAACAAGAGAAAGCUGCACAGAAAGCAGAGACAGUGGAUAAUUCUUCAGGAAUGAAGCCAAGGAGCAAGAAAGCUUAAAUAACAAUCCAAAGGAGAAGAGGGGGAUUUUGGGGAGGCCCUCCUUUCAACCAUUAC